UACAGAGGUCCCAAGCGUUGUUCGGAAUUACUGGGCGUAAAGGGCGCGUAGGCGGCCUUCUAAGUCGGACGUGAAAGCCCCAGGCUUAACCUGGGAACUGCGUCCGAUACUGGGAGGCUUGGAUUCGGGAGAGGGAUGUGGAAUUCCAGGUGUAGCGGUGAAAUGCGUAGAUAUCUGGAGGAAUACCGGUGGCGAAGGCGGCAUCCUGGACCGACAUUGACGCUGAUGAGCGAAAGCUAGGGGAGCAAACGGG
rnacentral:rRNA from 1 species